rnacentral:rRNA from 1 species
AUUGAACGCUGGCGGCAGGCCUAACACAUGCAAGUCGAGCGGAUGAAGGGAGCUUGCUCCUGGAUUCAGCGGCGGACGGGUGAGUAAUGCCUAGGAAUCUGCCUGUUAGUGGGGGAUAACGUCCGGAAACGGGCGCUAAUACCGCAUACGUCCUGAGGGAGAAAGUGGGGGAUCUUCGGACCUCACGCUAUUACAUGAGCCUAGGUCGGAUUAGCUAGUUGGUGGGGUAAAGGCCUACCAAGGCGACGAUCCGUAACUGGUCUGAGAGGAUGAUCAGUCACACUGGAACUGAGACACGGUCCAGACUCCUACGGGAGGCAGCAGUGGGGAAUAUUGGACAAUGGGCGCAAGCCUGAUCCAGCCAUGCCGCGUGUGUGAAGAAGGUCUUCGGGUUGUAAAGCACUUUAAGUUGGGAGGAAGGGCAGUAAGUUAAUACCUUGCUGUUUUGACGUUACCCACAGAAUAAGCACCGGCUAACUUCGUG